UGGCUUUUGUGCCUAUUUAGGAUUUUAAGAGAAAGCACUGAAAGGUGCUUUCCCUUAAAAUCCUAAAUAGGCACACGAGCCA